UAAGCGUAGACGGUGGAUGCCUUGGCAGUCAGAGGCGAUGAAGGACGUACUAACCUGCGAAAAGCGAUGGUGAGCUGGUAAGAAGCAUUUGAGCCAUCGAUGUCCGAAUGGGGAAACCCACCUGCAUAAGCAGGUAUCUUAGCGUGAAUCCAUAGCGYUAAGAGGCGAACUCGGGGAACUGAAACAUCUAAGUACCCGAAGGAAAAGAAAUCAAUUGAGAUUCCGGCAGUAGCGGCGAGCGACCCCGGAGCAGCCCUUAAGCGGCUUAGGCGUUAGGURAACAGGUUGGAAAACCUGGCAAUAAAGGGUGAUAGCCCCGUAACCGACGGCGCCUUAGRCGUGAAAACGAGUARGACGGGACACGUGAUAUCUUGUCUGAAKAKGGGGGGACCAUCCUCCAAGGCUAAAUACUCCUGACUGACCGAUAGUGAACCAGUACCGUGAGGGAAAGGCGAAAAGAACCCCUGUGAGGGGAGUGAAAUAGAACCUGAAACCGUCUACGUACAAGCAGUGGGAGCCCCAUCACUAAGACACUUCAUCUUAGUGAGACGCUAUCACUUUGUKGAUUGGGUUAACCACGCGMAGCGUGGGUCAACCRCCCAAUCCAGCAGAGGUGACUUAGUGAUGGGGUGACCGCGUACCUUUUGUAUAAUGGGUCAGCGACUUAAUGUAAGUAGCCAGGUUAACCGCAUAGGGGAGCCGUAGGGAAACCGAGUCUUAACUGGGCGACAGUUGCUUGCAUUAGACCCGAAACCGAGUGAUCUAGCCAUGGGCAGGUUGAAGGUUGAGUAACAUCAACUGGAGGACCGAACUCACUAACGUUGCAUUAGACCCGAAACCGAGUGAUCUAGCCAUGGGCAGGUUGAAGGUUGAGUAACAUCAACUGGAGGACCGAACUCACUAACGUUGAAAAGUUAGGAGAUGACCUGUGKCUAGGGGUGAAAGGCCAAUCAAACUCGGAGAUAGCUGGUUCUCCCCGAAAGCUAUUUAGGUAGCGCCUCGGACGAACACUACUGGGGGUAGAGCACUGUUAAGGCUAGGGGGUCAUCCCGACUUACCAACCCUUUGCAAACUCCGAAUACCAGUAAGUGCUAUCCGGGAGACACACGSCGGGUGCUAACGUCCGUCGUGGAGAGGGAAACAACCCAGACCGCCAGCUAAGGUCCCCAAGYUAUCGCUAAGUGGGAAACGAUGUGGGAAGGCUCAGACAGCCAGGAUGUUGGCUUAGAAGCAGCCAUCAUUUAAAGAAAGCGUAAUAGCUCACUGGUCGAGUCGGCCUGCGCGGAAGAUGUAACGGGGCUAAGCGAUACACCGAAGCUGCGGCAAUGNGGAGAGGGAAACAACCCAGACCGCCAGCUAAGGUCCCCAAGUUAUCGCUAAGUGGGAAACGAUGUGGGAAGGCUCAGACAGCCAGGAUGUUGGCUUAGAAGCAGCCAUCAUUUAAAGAAAGCGUAAUAGCUCACUGGUCGAGUCGGCCUGCGCGGAAGAUGUAACGGGGCUAAGCGAUACACCGAAGCUGCGGCAAUGGCUGCAUCACUUAAAGCUAUUGGAUUGACGUUAUGCGCGAAGCGCGUGGUUAAUAACGUCAAAGCGCCCAACAAUGGUUGAGGCGAAUAAAGAUAGUGGCUUUAAGGAUGCAGUUAUUGGGUAGGGGAGCGUUGUGUAAGCUGUUGAAGGUGUGCUGAGAGGCAUGCUGGAGGUAUCACAAGUGCGAAUGCUGACAUGAGUAACGAUAAWGGGGGUGAAAAACCUCCWCGCCGGAAGACCAAGGGUUCCUGUCCAACGUUAAUCGGGGCAGGGUAAGUCGGCCCCUAAGGCGAGGCCGAAAGGCGUAGUCGAUGGGAAACGGGUUAAUAUUCCCGUACUGCURCUUACUGCGAUGGGGGGACGGAGAAGGCUAGGUGGGCCUGGCGAUGGUUGUCCAGGUUCAAGGGUGUAGGCUGUAAUCUUAGGCAAAUCCGGGAUUACRYACGGUCGAGACCCGAUGUCGAGCCACCAAGGUGGUGAAGUCAUUGAUGCCAUGCUUCCGGGAAAAGCCUCUAAGCUUCAGGUAAGUAGGAACCGUACUCCAAACCGACACAGGUGGUCGGGUAGAGAAUACCAAGGCGCUUGAGAGAACUCGGGUGAAGGAACUAGGCAAAAUGGUACCGUAACUUCGGGAGAAGGUACGCUGCCCACGGNACCUGCACGAAUGGCGUAAUGAUGGCCACGCUGUCUCCACCCGAGACUCAGUGAAAUUGAAAUCGCAGUGAAGAUGCUGUGUACCCGCGGCUAGACGGAAAGACCCCGUGAACCUUUACUACAGCUUGGCACUGAACAUUGAGCCUACAUGUGUAGGAUAGGUGGGAGGCUUUGAAACGGCGACGCCAGUUGUCGUGGAGCCAUCCUUGAAAUACCACCCUUGUAUGUUUGAUGUUCUAACUUAGCCCCSUUAUCSGGGGUGAGGACAGUGCCUGGUGGGUAGUUUGACUGGGGCGGUCUCCUCCCAAAGYGUAACGGAGGAGCACGAAGGUGGGCUAAUCACGGUCGGACAUCGUGAGGUUAGUGCAAUGGCAUAAGCCCGCUUAACUGCGAGAGUGACGGCUCGAGCAGGUACGAAAGUAGGUCAUAGUGAUCCGGUGGUUCUGAAUGGAAGGGCCAUCGCUCAACGGAUAAAAGGUACUCCGGGGAUAACAGGCUGAUACCGNAGACAGUUCGGUCCCUAUCUGCCGUGGGCGUUGGAUGAUUGAGGGGAGCUGCUCCUAGUACGAGAGGACCGGAGUGGACGAACCGCUGGUGUUCGGGUUGUGUCGCCAGACGCAUUGCCCGGUAGCUAAGUUCGGCACAGAUAAGCGCUGAAAGCAUCUAAGCGCGAAGCUGGCCCCGAGAUGAGUCAUCCCUAGAGCCUCGAGCUCUCUAAAGGGUUGUUCUAGACUAGAACGUUGAUAGGCAGGGUGUGUAAGCGCUGUGAGGCGUUGAGCUAACCUGUACUAAUGGCCCGUGAGGCUUAACCAUACAACACCCAAG
rnacentral:rRNA from 1 species